GUCUAGUUAGCUUAGAGGGUAUAGCACGUCUGCCUUGUAAGCGCUAGGCCGAGGGUUCGAUUCCCUCCCGGGGCG
rnacentral:tRNA from 1 species